CGGGAUGUGGGAAAGCUUGGCUAAUCCGCCUGCUUCGGGAGCAGGAGAACGCCGGUUCAAAUCCGGCCAUCCCGA
rnacentral:tRNA from 1 species